AGUGAACGCUGGCGGUAGGCCUAACACAUGCGAGUCGAACGGCAGCACAGUAAGAGCUUGCUCUUACGGGUGGCGAGUGGCGGACGGGUGAGGAAUACAUCGGAAUCUACUUUUUCGUGGGGGAUAACGUAGGGAAACUUACGCUAAUACCGCAUACGACCUACGGGUGAAAGCAGGGGAUCUUCGGACCUUGCGCGAUUGACUGAGCCGAUGUCGGAUUAGCUAGUUGGCGGGGUAAAGGCCCACCAAGGCGACGAUCCGUAGCUGGUCUGAGAGGAUGAUCAGCCACACUGGAACUGAGACACGGUCCAGACUCCUACGGGAGGCAGCAGUGGGGAAUAUUGGACAAUGGGCGCAAGCCUGAUCCAGCCAUACCGCGUGGGUGAAGAAGGCCUUCGGGUUGUAAAGCCCUUUUGCUGGGAAAGAAAAGCAGCAGGUUAAUACCCCGCUGUUCUGACGGUACCCAAAGAAUAAGCACCGGCUAACUUCGUG
rnacentral:rRNA from 1 species